CGAAAUCAACGUUUUGUUUUUCCGCUUCCUUCCUACGCUAAAGCGCACCCCCAAGUGGAGACGUGCUGUAAGAACGGGAGUGUAUGUAUCGAGCACCCCUCCGAUCUCUGUCUCGCAAGGCGGACUGAGGGCUCCCUACCGACUCUGAGAGAGAGUGGGGGAGGAGGCAGCUGUUAUCGCACCCCUCUCUUGCCUCAGAGAGCCUCUCCCUCUCCCUUCUCUCCGUUCCGCUGGCGGGCGUUGGUCUGAUAAUGCUCUCGCGGUUCGCCUCCUCCGUGUGCCUCGGCGUCCCCUCCGAUCGACUCCCCGUCUUCUUCGACUCCUCGGCUCCCCUGAAACCCUCCUUAGCUGGCGGGAGGGGGGCGCUAGGGUUUCCUUCGACGUGUAAGAAGAAAGCUCCGAUGCUGCCGCUAUCCUUAUCUCCCGCACGAUCCGCAAGAUUUCGUGCAUCGGUCCAGCGGGACGAGGGUUCCGCUUCAGAGAGAAAGGAUGCUAUGCCAAUUCAUGGAGUAUCAGAAACAAUUGUUGGUGUCUUGGGUGGUGGGCAGUUAGGUCGAAUGCUGUGCCAAGCAGCAAGUCAAAUGGCCAUCAAAGUAGUGACUUUAGAUCCUCUUGAAAACUGUCCUGCAAGUGCAAUAUCCUAUCAACAUUUUGUAGGGAGUUUUGAUGAUGGUGAAUCAGUUCGUGAAUUUGCAAAAAGGUGUGGCGUGUUGACUGUAGAGAUUGAGCACGUUGAUGCUGUUACACUUGAGAAGCUUGACCAACAAGGGAUAGAUUGCCAACCUAAAGCUUCUACCAUAAGGAUAAUCCAAGACAAGUAUUUGCAGAAGGUUCAUUUUUCUCAGCAUGGGAUUCCACUUCCUGAUUUUAUGCAGAUAGAUGAUUUAGCGAGUGCUGAGAAAGCUGGGGACUUGUUUGGCUAUCCCUUGAUGAUCAAAAGCAAGAGGCUGGCUUAUGAUGGGCGUGGAAAUGCUGUUGCUUACAACAAAGAGGAUCUGCCUUCUGUUGUUACUGCUUUGGGAGGAUUUGAUCAUGGCUUAUAUGUUGAGAGGUGGACACCAUUUGUGAAGGAGCUGUCAGUCAUUGUAGCAAGGGGUAGAGACAACUCAAUGCAAUGCUAUCCUGUGGUCGAGACUAUUCAUAAGGAUAACAUCUGUCACAUAGUUGAAGCUCCUGCUAAUGUAUCGGAGAAAAUAAAGAAACUUUCCAUUGAUGUUGCUCAGAAAGCUGUCAUGUCAUUAGAGGGGGCUGGUGUGUUUGCAGUAGAAUUAUUUCUAACAAGAGAUGGACAGGUUUUGUUGAAUGAAGUAGCUCCUAGACCUCACAAUAGUGGGCAUCACACAAUUGAGUCAUGCUAUACUUCACAAUAUGAACAACAUUUGCGAGCUGUUCUUGGUCUUCCACUUGGUGAUCCAUCAAUGAAAAGCCCUGCCGCAAUCAUGUACAAUAUAUUGGGCGAAGAUGAGGGAGAUGCAGGGUUCUAUUUAGCUCAUCAGCUGAUUGGAAGGGCAUUGAAUAUUCCUGGGGCCACUGUUCACUGGUAUGAUAAACCAGAAAUGCGGAAGCAACGAAAGAUGGGUCAUAUCACAAUUGUAGGCCCUUCAAUGAACAUUGUAAGAACACGCCUAAAUUUAUUGCUGGAAAAAGGAACAACAGGAAACCACACUGUGGUCAGUCCACGUGUUGCUAUAAUAAUGGGAUCUGAUUCAGAUCUUCCUACAAUGAAAGGUGCUGCAGAGAUUUUGAAAAAUUUUGAUGUGCCUUUUGAGGUCACAAUUGUUUCAGCACACCGUACACCGGAGAGGAUGUAUUCUUUUGCUAUGUCUGCAAAGGAAAGAGGCAUCCAGAUCAUCAUUGCUGGUGCUGGUGGCGCAGCACAUUUACCAGGAAUGGUGGCUUCAUUGACACCGUUACCUGUGAUAGGAGUCCCAAUAAGAACCUCAUCAUUGGAUGGUAUUGACUCCCUCUUAUCUAUUGUUCAGAUGCCAAAAGGUGUACCUGUUGCAACUGUUGCGAUAGGAAAUGCAGCAAAUGCCGCUUUAUUAGCUGUUCGGAUCCUGGCUGCUGGGGAUGCUGAUUUGUGGGACAGGGUGGUCGGUUACCAAGAGGAUAUGAAGGACACUGUUCUAAGAAAAGCAGAAAAACUUGAAGGGGAAGGUUGGGAGAGAUAUUUGAAUCUCUGAUUCCCAUGUGCUUAUUCUGGUUGAGCCUUGCCCUCCCUCGCCAAGGAAAAAGAAAAGUUGGCCGCCCUCAACCUACAGAGAGUGAGACUCGGCAAGGACCCCCAGCUUCGGCUUUUAUUGGCAGGAUUUUGAAGAGUACUUCAUCUUGGAAGCGCACAGGGCCAGGGAAUGUAUCAGAAGCCAUUGGAAACCAUGCAAAGGCUCUAUUCCGCCUCUUAAGCACCUUUCUUUCCAAAACCUGUCAUCUUCUCUUUUUUAUUAUUAUUAUUUUAUUAUUUUUUUUUUUUCUAGAGAGCCGUGGAGGAAAAGACGUCAUUCCUUCUUUACUUUAUCUCCCCCUCUUUUCAAGAGCAAGCGACAAAGCAUCGUUCACGUGUGAAAGCCUCCGUGUGUGAAGCGGAAAUUAGAAUCCAGUUGUCGAUGUUGAUGUGCCGCUGGGUUUUAAAAAACAUGCCACGGAGACGAGCAGCAUGGAUAAGGGCCAUGGAUUUGUUUCAAUAAGAUACGAUGUGCGAUAUGAGGACUGAGGUGUGGUAGGAAAGUUGGCAUGACCACCUCAUGCAGGACAAGUAAGGCGUUAUGUGCGACAUAAUUUUGCCGAGAUAAGAAAGUUGGGGGAAAAUGUGAAAAACAUCAGGAAUCAGAUAUGUCUUGGAAAAAGUGAUGAAGAUCAACGACAAACCACUGUUUAUGAGAUUUUUUUUUCAGCAAUUUUAUAUGAUUUCCGAGCAUUUUAAUACUCUCCUUGUCCCUUUUUCUUCUCAUUUGCACCUUUUUGUUUUUAUUUUUCAUUUAUUUUUUUAAUUUUUCUUUCACAUAUU